AUUAUUGGGCCUAAAGCGUCCGUAGCUGGCCGAACAGGUCUGUCGGGAAAUCCGCUCGCUCAACGAGCGGACGUCCGGCGGAAACCAGUCGGCUUGGGACCGGAAGACCCGAGGGGUACGUCCGGGGUAGGAGUGAAAUCCUGUAAUCCUGGACGGACCACCGGUGGCGAAAGCGCCUCGGGAGGACGGAUCCGACAGUGAGGGACGAAAGCUUGGGUCACGAACCGGAUUAGAUACCCGGGUAGUCCAAGCUGUAAACGAUGCUCGCUAGGUGUGGCACUGGCUACGAGCCAGUGCUGUGCCGUAGGGAAGCCGAGAAGCGAGCCGCCUGGGAAGUACGUCCGCAAGGAUGAAACUUAAAGGAAUUGGCGGGGGAGCACUACAACCGGAGGAGCCUGCGGUUUAAUUGGACUCAACGCCGGACAUCUCACCAGCACCGACAGUGUGCGAUGAAGAUCAGUGUGAUGAGCUUAUUGGAGCCACUGAGAGGAGGUGCAUGGCCGCCGUCAGCUCGUACCGUGAGGCGUCCUGUUAAGUCAGGCAACGAGCGAGACCCGCAUCCUUAAUUGCCAGCAGUACCCUUGUGGUAGCUGGGUACAUUAGGGAGACUGCCGUGGCUAACACGGAGGAAGGAACGGGCAACGGUAGGUCAGUAUGCCCCGAAUGUGCUGGGCUACACGCGGGCUACAAUGGCCGGGACAGUGGGACGCCACCCCGAGAGGGGGCGCUAAUCUCCUAAACCCGGUCGUAGUUCGGAUUGCGGGCUGAAACCCGCCCGCAUGAAGCUGGAUUCGGUAGUAAUCGCGUCUC
rnacentral:rRNA from 1 species